rnacentral:siRNA from 1 species
UCCAAAUUGCAUAAACACAAGCCU